ACAAACUUGGUCAUUUAGAGGAAGUAAAAGUCGUAACAAGGUAACCGUAGGUGAACCUGCGGUUGGAUCAUUACAGAAAAAUAUGGCUGUCUCAAUUCCACAUUGGAAGCGAGCGGCUCAUAUUCCACACCUAUUUGUGAAUGUAACGUAUUUUGGCGGUUCCGUUUCCUCACCUUUGUGUGAGGAGGGAAGAAGGGGGAAGAAGAAGGGAGAAAUUCUGACUUUGUCCUCUCCGUCUUCCUUGGAACUGCCAGCCGACAACAACAAACACCUGUUUUUUUGUGUACUUAAAGUGCCUCUUUCAUGAGGUUUUUUAAUUUGAAAACAACUUUUGACAACGGAUCUCUUGGCUCUCGCAUCGAUGAAGAACGCAGC
rnacentral:misc_RNA from 1 species